GUCAGCCAUUUAUUGAUAGGGUGACAUCAUUUAUCAAAUUUGCAAUGGCAGUUGUUGACCAGGAAGCUGUUAGAGAUACCAUCGAGAGCCCGUUCACAAUCUCAUCAUGAGGCAUUGACCCACGCAUUAGAAGAGGGGGAUACCUCUUCACGUCCUGAGGUGACUAGCAAUCCGCCACCACCUCUCAAUGUGGAGCCUCAACUUGAGGUGACUGCUGGUAAUACUAUUGCUGCUAAGCGUGCUCGUGGCCCGACUCGAGGCAAAGAGGUUCAAGGCCUUGUUGAUAGAGAUAGAAAGCUUAGUGUGCCUAUCCCUCCAAAAUUUCGUGCACCGGU